UACGUAGGGGGCAAGCGUUGUCCGGAUUUAUUGGGCGUAAAGAGCGUGUAGGCGGUCAGGUAGGUCCGUUGUGAAAACUCGAGGCUCAACCUCGAGACGCCGAUGGAAACCAUCUGACUAGAGUCCGGAAGAGGAGAGUGGAAUUCCUGGUGUAGCGGUGAAAUGCGCAGAUAUCAGGAGGAACACCGGUGGCGAAGGCGGGUCUCUGGGCCUUACCUGACACUGAGGAGCGAAAGCGUGGGGAGCGAACAGG
rnacentral:rRNA from 1 species